rnacentral:rRNA from 1 species
UACGGGGGGAGCAAGCGUUGUUCGGAUUUACUGGGCGUAAAGGGCGCGUAGGCGGCGUGACAAGUCACUUGUGAAAUCUCCGGGCUUAACUCGGAACGGUCAAGUGAUACUGUCGUGCUAGAGUACAGAAGGGGCAACUGGAAUUCUCGGUGUAGCGGUGAAAUGCGUAGAUAUCGAGAGGAACACCUGCGGCGAAGGCGGGUUGCUGGGCUGAUACUGACGCUGAGGAGCGAAAGCAUGGGUAGCGAACAGG